UACGGAGGGAGCUAGCGUUGUUCGGAAUUACUGGGCGUAAAGCGCGCGUAGGCGGCUUUGUAAGUUAGAGGUGAAAGCCCGGGGCUCAACUCCGGAAUUGCCUUUAAGACUGCAUCGCUAGAAUCCGGGAGAGGUGAGUGGAAUUCCGAGUGUAGAGGUGAAAUUCGUAGAUAUUGGGAAGAACACCAGUGGCGAAGGCGGCUAACUGGUCCAGCACUGACGCUGAGGUGCGAAAGCGUGGGGAGCAAACAGG
rnacentral:rRNA from 1 species